rnacentral:rRNA from 1 species
CCUACGGGAGGCAGCAGUAAGGAAUAUUGGUCAAUGGAGGCAACUCUGAACCAGCCAUGCCGCGUGCAGGAUGACGGCCCUAUGGGUUGUAAACUGCUUUUGUACCAGAGAAAACCUACUCACGUGUGAGUAGCUGAUAGUAUGGUAAGAAUAAGCAUCGGCUAACUUCGUGCCAGCAGCCGCGGUAAGACGAAGGAUGCAAGCGUUAUCCGGAUUCAUUGGGUUUAAAGGGUGCGUAGGCGGACUUGUAAGUCAGUGGUGAAAUCUCUUCGCUUAACGAAGAAACUGCCAUUGAUACUGCAGGUCUAGAGUAUAGAUGACGUUGGCGGAAUAUGACAUGUAGUGGUGAAAUACUUAGAUAUGUCAUAGAACACCGAUUGCGAAGGCAGCUAACGAAACUAUAACUGACGCUGAGGCACGAAAGUGCGGGGAUCAAACAGGAUUAGAUACCCUGGUAGUCCGCACCGUAAACGAUGAUUACUCGUUGUUGGUCGAUAUGACAGUCAGCGACCAAGCGAAAGCGAUAAGUUAAUUCCACCUUGGGGAGUACGCCGGCGACGGUGAAACUUCAAAUUGAAUUGAGG